UGCCACUGUGUUCGUCGCCUGCAGUAUUCAGUGCAGUCACAGACUGUACAGGUCUGCAGCCCAGGAGUGAUACGCUGCACAGCAUGGCCUAGGUGUCUCACAGAUUCUACCGUCUUGGUGUGUGUGAGUCACCUCUGAUGUUCUCACAACAGCAAAACCGCCUACCGAUGCAUCUCUCAGAAAGUCUCCCUGUCGUUAAGUGACGCAUGACUGUAGCACUCAGCAACAAAAAGGGAGGAAGUACUGACGUGUGGACUUCAGGAUAAUUCUGCCAAACGAAAGAUGUCAGAUGAAAAAGUCUACACAGUAUAAUCCCGUGUAUCCAGAAUCCUACAGCAAACUCACCAACAGUGGCAGGAAGCAGACCUGCGCUUGCUGUAGAUGCAGGACAGGAACUUCCAGAACCAUUGACUCUGCUGAUCCCACAGAACAAGUGGCUCAACAGCUUGCACUGUGGCCUGGACCUGAUGCGGAGCCUUCCCUUGCUCUGCGUCCCACUGGAAACAGGUACUUUCUGGCUCUGAUACUAGGUGGGUUGGAACUCGUUCCAGUUGUGGCAUACGCUAUCUCUGAAAUCUAGAGGCCCACCAAAGCCGGUGCCUCCUUCUUAAAGGAAGAAGAUUCAAGGUGCAACAACUUGCCAUUUACAUAGAAGACAUGUCCUGGCAUGCCCUGAGUCACUAGAUCCCCCAGGUCUUCACUCCUGGGUAGGUCCCUGAGUCUUCCUGGGGGUUGGCUCCCAGUGUCCCGUGCACAGGUAUUUCCUAGGGCAGAUAGGACACCCCCGUGUUCUGCUCACCAGGCCCAGUUAGGAUGCAGCAAUGCAGCAGCCCCCAGCCUUCAAGGCCCUGUGGACUACACCCUCGGUAGUCCGAGAGCAGCGCGGGGCUGGGAGCCUGUGCUGCCGUUCCGGCCACGCCGGUGAAGCGCUUCCGGUCCCCGUGCUGGUGGGACUGAGGAGAGCGCCGUGCUGCCGUUCCGGCCACGCCGUGAAGCGCUUCCGGUCUCCGUGCUGGUGGGACUGAGAAGAACGCCGUGCUGCCGUUCCGGCCACGCCGGUGAAGUGCUUCCGGUCCCCGUGCUGGUGGGACUGAGAAGAACGCCGUGCUGCCGUUCUGGCCACGCCGUGAAGCGCUUCCGGUCUCCGUGCUGGUGGGACUGAGAAGAACGCCGUGCUGCCGUUCCGGCCACACCAGAGAAGUGCUUCCGGUCUCCGUGCUGGUGGGACUGAGGAGAACGCCGUGCUGCCGUUCCGGCCACGCCGUGAAGCGCUUCCGGUCCCCGUGCUGGUGGGACUGAGAAGAACGCCGUGCUGCCGUUCCGGCCACGCCGGUGAAGUGCUUCCGGUCCCCGUGCUGGUGGGACUGAGGAGAACGCCGUGCUGCCGUUCUGGCCACGCCGUGAAGCGCUUCCGGUCUCCGUGCUGGUGGGACUGAGAAGAACGCCGUGCUGCCGUUCCGGCCACACCAGAGAAGUGCUUCCGGUCUCCGUGCUGGUGGGACUGAGGAGAACGCCGUGCUGCCGUUCCGGCCACGCCGUGAAGCGCUUCCGGUCUCCGUGCUGGUGGGACUGAGAAGAACGCCGUGCUGCCGUUCCGGCCACGCCGGUGAAGCGCUUCCGGUCUCCCUGCUGGUGGGACUGAGGAGAGCGCCGUGCUGCCGUUCCGGCCACGCCGUGAAGCGCUUCCGGUCUCCGUGCUGGUGGGACUGAGAAGAACGCCGUGCUGCCGUUCCGGCCACGCCGGUGAAGUGCUUCCGGUCCCCGUGCUGGUGGGACUGAGAAGAACGCCGUGCUGCCGUUCUGGCCACGCCGUGAAGCGCUUCCGGUCUCCGUGCUGGUGGGACUGAGAAGAACGCCGUGCUGCCGUUCCGGCCACACCAGAGAAGUGCUUCCGGUCUCCGUGCUGGUGGGACUGAGGAGAACGCCGUGCUGCCGUUCCGGCCACGCCGUGAAGCGCUUCCGGUCUCCGUGCUGGUGGGACUGAGAAGAACGCCGUGCUGCCGUUCCGGCCACGCCGGUGAAGCGCUUCCGGUCUCCCUGCUGGUGGGACUGAGGAGAGCGCCGUGCUGCCGUUCCGGCCACGCCGUGAAGCGCUUCCGGUCCCCGUGCUGGUGGGACUGAGAAGAACGCCGUGCUGCCGUUCCGGCCACGCCGGUGAAGCGCUUCCGGUCUCCCUGCUGGUGGGACUGAGGAGAACGCCGUGCUGCCGUUCCGGCCACACCAGAGAAGUGCUUCUGGUCCCCGUGCUGGUGGGGAUUGAGGAGAACACGGGUACAGCUCCACAGCUACCUUUCCCGGGCCAGAGGCUGGGCGGAUCUGCCCCAGGGAAGACCCCACAUCUGCUGCGGCGGCUGCAGUCCGGCUCCUUGAGGCUGGUUUCCUGUCCCCUCCUUCCCACUACGUCCCCUUCCCACCAAAGCAGUGACAUCAGCUCCAUCUAGUUUGAAAACAGAGGCUGGUUUGAGGGCUGGAGCCAAUUAGUUAUCACAUUAAAAUGUGUGCUAUCCCUGGGGAACUUCUUGCAAGGUUUCACUUCUUUUCUUUUUUCAAAGAAUCGCACUCUUGUUGGCGGGGACCAGCAGAAGACGGAGACGUUUUUCCAUAACCGGCUGCUGCUGUGGGAGCCGUGGGCUGGGAAUGCAGCCGAGUCUCCUCUGGGGCAUGUGGGUCUCCGAGGCUGGAGUUCUCAGACGGUGUGUGUGCAUGUGUAUGUGCUGUGGAAUCUGUGUGGAGUGUGUAUGUGUGUGAUGUGCUUCUGUGUGAUGUAUGUGUGUGUGGUGUGUGUGUAUGUAUGUGUGAGGUAUGUGUGUUGCGUGUGAUAUGUAUAUGUGUGAUGUAUGUUUGUAUGUGAUGUAUGUGUGUGGUGUGUAUGCAUGUGUGGUGUGUGUAUGUGUGUGUGAUGUGUAUGUGUGUAUGGUGUACGUGUGUGUGUAGUAUAUGUGUGUUUGUGAUAUGUAUUUGUGUGAUGUUUGUGUAUGAUGUGUGUGAUAUGUAUGUGAUAUGUAUGUCUGUGAUGUGUUUGUGUGUGAUGUAUGUAUGGUGUGUAUAUGUGUGAUGUAUGUGUGGUAUGUGAUGUAUGUGUGUGAUGUGUGGUGUGUAUGUGUGUGAUAUGUGUGUGGUGUGUGUACUAUGUGCGUAUGUGUGUGCUAUGUGUAUGUGUGGUGUGUCUAAUUCAUAGUAUGUGUAUGUGUGUGUGGUGUGUGUGAUAUGUGUGUGAUGUGUUUGCAUGUAAUGUGUGGGGUAUGUGAUAUACAUGUAUGUGUGUGGCAUGUGUGAUAUGUGCUUGUGCAUGUGUGCAGUGUGUGGUGUGUGUGUAUGUGAAUGUGUGUGGCGUGUAUGUGUGUGGUAAACAGGUGUAUGUGUGUGAUGUAUGUACACAUGAUAUGUGUAUGUGUGUAUGUGUAUUCAUAUGAUGUGUGUGGUGUGUGUGAAUGUGUGUGAUAUGUGUGUGAUGUGUAUGUGUAUAUGUGUGGUGCGUGUGCAUGUGAUAUGUGUAUAUGUGUGAUGUGUGUGGUGUGCAUAUGUGUGAUAUGUGUAAAUGUGUGAUGUGUAUUUGGUGUGUGCAUGUGGUGUGUGAAUGUGUGUGAUGCGUGGUGUGGUGUGUGAAUGUGUGCGAUGUGUAUGUGGUGUGUGUGAUAUGUGUAUGUGUGGGGUGGUGUGUGUGUGAUGUGUGUGUGGUGUGUGUGAUGUGUGUGUGACGUCUGUGUGGUGUGUGUGUGAUGUGUGUGGUGGUGUGUGUGUGGUGUGUGUGAUAUGUGUAUGUGUGUGGUGUGGUGUGUGUGAUAUGUGUAUAUGUGUGACGUGUGUGUGGUGUGGUGCAUGUGAUAUGUGUAUGUGAUGUGUGUGGUGUGUGUGUG
rnacentral:lncRNA from 10 species